rnacentral:rRNA from 1 species
AACGAACGCUGGCGGCAUGCCUAACACAUGCAAGUCGAACGAGACCUUCGGGUCUAGUGGCGCACGGGUGCGUAACGCGUGGGAAUCUGCCCUUUGCUUCGGAAUAACACAGAGAAAUUUGUGCUAAUACCGGAUAAUGUCGCAAGACCAAAGAUUUAUCGGCAAAGGAUGAGCCCGCGUAAGAGUAGCUAGUUGGGGGGGUAAUGGCCUACCAAGGCGACGAUCUUUAGCUGGUCUGAGAGGAUGAUCAGCCACACUGGGACUGAGACACGGCCCAGACUCCUACGGGAGGCAGCAGUGGGGAAUAUUGGACAAUGGGCGAAAGCCUGAUCCAGCAAUGCCGCGUGAGUGAUGAAGGCCCUAGGGUUGUAAAGCUCUUUUACCAGGGAUGAUAAUGACAGUACCUGGAGAAUAAGCUCCGGCUAACUCCGUGCCAGCCGCCGCCGUAAAAC